AACGAUUAUGCUCAUAUUCAAAUUUUCUUUUAGAGCACACAAAGGGCCAUUGUCUGGAUAUCUGCCAUCUUUCUGCUACUCCUCAUAGCUGACUGUAGUGAGGGGACAAAGGUUUUAACUAGAAACUGGGGUCCCCAAUCUACAUUAUACCUAAAAGGAAAGCAUGGUAAGAGAAAUAUGCUGGAAAUGGAAACGGAAACUGACUUCCCUGUCUUCGGACCAGUUUAUUGGAUGAACAGCGUCAGCAGUAUAAUAGGUUACCAGAAGUCAAAGCCAACGUUGGAGCAGCUGUUCAAGAAACUAAAGCUAUAUCAAUAUUAAUAAGAACUUAUAAGAC